rnacentral:rRNA from 1 species
GAUGAACGCUAGCGGGAGGCCUAACACAUGCAAGCCGAGCGGUAGAGCCUCUUCGGCGUCUUGAGAGCGGCGCACGGGUGCGGAACACGUGUGCAACCUGCCUUUAUCUGGGGGAUAGCCUUUCGAAAGGAAGAUUAAUACCCCAUAAUAUACUGGAUGCCAUCAUCUGGUAUUGAAAACUCCUGUGGAUAGAGAUGGGCACGCGCAAGAUUAGAGAGUUGGUGAGGUAACGGCUCACCAAGCCAGCGAUCUUUAGGGGGCCUGAGAGGGUGAUCCCCCAGACUGGUACUGAGGCACGGACCAGAAUCGGACGGAGGGGAGGGGUAAGGAGGACUGGGCGAGGGAUGAGGGCCUGAUCCAGCCAUGCCGGGUGAAAGACGACGGCGCUUGGGAUGGUAUACUUCUGGUGUAGAAGGAUAAACCGAGAUACGUGUGUCUAGCUGAAGGUACUAUAAGAAUAAGCACCGGCUAACUCCGUG